UCACUGAAGGCUGGGUUUCUGGGCACAUCCUAUGCCAUAACUUCCUAAUUCUUACCAUCCCCGUAAUGUAAUGUGUGCGGGGUAAAGUAAAAACCUUUUCAGAAGACUUUACGGUGUUGUAAAGCGUCUUUUAAUCAAACUAAAAAUGUCUGUUGCUGAUGCUAAAGACAAACCUGAAAUAUGUGUGUGGUGUGAAGAUAGUGUGGAAAUACGUCAGAUUUAAUGGCGCAUGAGUCAAAGAUUAGAGAAACUAAGAAGUAUGUAAGAUGAGAUAUAUAAGUUAACGGCUGCCAACUUGUACAGUCGACAAGUUUUUCUUAAUAGCGAUGUAUUUUGAUAGAGUCAGCCAUGAAUUUAAUCUACCAGGGUGACAUAAUAUUUAACAAAUUAUGCUUCAGAACAACUGAAUAACACUGUCAGGAGUUGGAACUUUUACUACAGCUUUGUGCCCUGAUGAAAUCCGAUACAUCACAUACUUCAGUCUACCUGGCUGAUAACAGGUUUCACUAGAAAGAUCAUGCAGUUAUAAAAACAAUUUCGCUGACAAAUCCAUCCAACCUGCUAAUAUUGGAUGAUUAUUAUUUUAUUGGAUUUGGAAAAUAUCUUGACUCUGUCAUACUUGGUAUCAAACCUCAAAAAUAUUUUUGAAGUUAAUCAUUCACCAACUUCCUACAUUAGUAGUCUUCAGGUGUUUUGAUCACAAAAUAAAGGUUCUCUUUUUAAAA
rnacentral:lncRNA from 1 species